rnacentral:misc_RNA from 1 species
ACUUCUCAACCCCAGUUGGAUUUGCAAUUCGACUGGUGGCUGGACUUGGGGGCUUGCUGGCCGUUUCAAUUCGGUCUGCUCCCCUUGAAUGUAUUAGCUUGGACUUCUUCCUACGGCUGCAUAGCGUGAUAAUUAUCUACGCCUUGUCUGUCUGUGGAAUACUACUGGGUCUAGCUUCUAACUGUCCUCUGGACAAUCACUUCAAU